CUUAUCGACCUUAAUGCCGGGUACGACAUCUCUCUGACGUAGCAAUUCGAUCAAUUCGACGUCAUCGGAUGUUUUUUGAUAAACUGUCUCGUGAUGCAGAAUAACAGCACUUAUGUAUUUUGAAAAUUGAGACUGCGGUAAAAAAACGUUAGAUAAGCAAGUAAAAUGUGCAGAUUACAGUAUAAUGAGUUCACCUUAUCUGCGGUGAACAACAUUUGCCGAUAAUCGCGACGAUUAAUUUCGGUAUUUUCCACGCCGAUCUCGUCGAAUCGUUCUUGAAAAGUUGAAGGAGACUCGUCACAAGCUAGCAAUCCUUUUCCUGGUACUACGAUCGCGUCUACGAUUUUGCGCAACUCUUGGCAAAGAGCUGGUUCUAACUCCGUGUAUUUAGUAAUGGGCGAUGAUAUCUAAUUAAUAAAUAUAUAACAAUUUUUGACGAAACUUUAUGUGACUUUAAAAUAAAGUUAAAUUAACAUUAAUAUCCUAAUUCAUUCAUAUUAUAAUGUAUCGUAAUCGUAAGUAAACAAUAUUUCUAAAGUGAUAUUACAUUUUUCAAGCAAAAUAGUUAAAAGAAAAACAUGGUGUUUCGAAAUUAAAUUAUGUCCAAGAAGUUAAUGGGAAUUGAUACAAUUAUCAUUUGUUGAGCAAAUGAUUUCUUAAUACGUAUAUUAGAGAAUCGAAAACUAUAAUCAAAAUAAUUUUUGUAACACUAAAAGGAAAAGAGUGAAAUUUUUCAUAACUUCAGGACUAUGAACGAAGUUGGGAAGGUCAACAACCGUGUUGGCACUCGGACAAGUUAUAUUUAAUUUCGAACAACAAUCACUGAGUAUUCUAAUUCUAUAAUUUCGUAGCGAACGACAGACAUUUAUUUAGUACGACUCUUACACUUUCUAAGGGUAAUAAUCAUUAUCGAACAUUGAUAUAACGGCAACAAAGUCCAAUGACGAUAUAAAAUAUUAUACCGUAAUCACAAUUACGCUUUUAAACUGUUGAUUUCUUUUUAAGUUUAGAUAAUUUAACAUUGGUAAACAUUUUUUGAGCGUGUUAGUAAUAAAUUAAUCGUUUUACGUCUACAUAUUUAUUAUUUGCACACUGGGGAGUUAAUAUUUUUUUAAAGAGAAGGUUUCAUUAUAAAAUUGAGAUUUUUUUUGUUAAUGCUAAAUUGUAUAUCAUGAAAUAGGUCCAAUACGAUUUUUAUGAAAUUUUUAUUUUGUAUAUAUUUUUUAUUACUGGUAAAAUUUGGUAAUGAUUUAAAAAAGUAUUUUCAUAGUGAAGAAGAUAAUAAUAAUAAUAGUAGGUUAAUGACUUA